rnacentral:rRNA from 1 species
UACAGAGGGUGCAAGCGUUGUUCGGAUUCAUUGGGCGUAAAGAGCGUGUAGGCGGCCAUGCAGGUCCGUUGUGAAAACUCGAGCUCAACCUCGAGACGCCGAUGGAAACCGCAUGGCUAGAGUCCGGAAGAGGAGAGUGGAAUUCCUGGUGUAGCGGUGAAAUGCGCAGAUAUCAGGAAGAACACCCGUGGCUAAGGCGGCUCUCUAGUACGGUACUGACGCUGAGACGCGAAAGCGUGGGGAGCAAACAGG